rnacentral:rRNA from 1 species
AUUGAACGCUGGCGGCAGGCCUAACACAUGCAAGUCGAGCGGAUGAAGGGAGCUUGCUCCUGGAUUCAGCGGCGGACGGGUGAGUAAUGCCUAGGAAUCUGCCUGGUAGUGGGGGAUAACGUCCGGAAACGGGCGCUAAUACCGCAUACGUCCUGAGGGAGAAAGUGGGGGAUCUUCGGACCUCACGCUAUCAGAUGAGCCUAGGUCGGAUUAGCUAGUUGGUGGGGUAAAGGCCUACCAAGGCGACGAUCCGUAACUGGUCUGAGAAGAUGAUCAGUCGCACUGGAACUGAGACACGGUCCAGACUCCUACGGGAGGCAGCAGUGGGGAAUAUUGGACAAUGGGCGAAAGCCUGAUCCAGCCAUGCCGCGUGUGUGAAGAAGGUCUUCGGAUUGUAAAGCACUUUAAGUUGGGAGGAAGGGCAGUAAGUUAAUACCUUGCUGUUUUGACGUUACCAACAGAAUAAGCACCGGCUAACUUCGUG